GUGUGAUCCUAGAGAACUUUACUUAUAAGCUAUUGUCCGUUUUUUGAGAUAUCAAAAAUUUGCACUAGGAAAAGGACUUCUUUUUUCAAUGCAUGGCCAUCUCCAGAUAAAAGCCUUCGCAGAUGCAGAUUAGGCUGGAUAGCAUGAUGAUAAGAGGUCUACAACGGGUUAUUGUAUCUUUGUCGACGGUAACCUAGUCACUUGGAGAAG
rnacentral:misc_RNA from 1 species